rnacentral:tRNA from 1 species
GCGCCCAUCGUCUAGCCCGGCCUAGGACACUGCCUUUUCACGGCGGCGACUGGGGUUCGAAUCCCCAUGGGCGUACCA